rnacentral:rRNA from 1 species
GUGUCAGCAGCCGCGGUAAGACGAACUGUGCAAACGUUAUUCGGAAUCACUGGGCUUGAAGAGUGCGUAGGCGGUUUCGUAAGUAGGGUGUGAAAGCCCCCGGCUCAACCGGGGAAUUGCGCCCUAAACUGCGAGGCUGGAGUGAGGUAGGGGUGUGUGGAACUUCCAGUGGAGCGGUGAAAUGUGUUGAUAUUGGAAGGAACGCCGGUGGCGAAAGCGACACACUGGACCUUGUCUGACGCUGAGGCACGAAAGCCAGGGGAGCAAACGGGAUUAGAAACCCGCGUAGUCC